rnacentral:rRNA from 1 species
GUCCCCUAGUAGCGGCGAGCGAAGCGGGAAGAGCUCAAAUUUAUAAUCUGGCACCUUCGGUGUCCGAGUUGUAAUCUCUAGAAAUGUUUUCCGCGUUGGACCGCACACAAGUCUGUUGGAAUACAGCGGCAUAGUGGUGAGACCCCCGUAUAUGGUGCGGACGCCCAGCGCUUUGUGAUACAUUUUCGAAGAGUCGAGUUGUUUGGGAAUGCAGCUCAAAUUGGGUGGUAAAUUCCAUCUAAAGCUAAAUAUUGGCGAGAGACCGAUAGCGAACAAGUACCGUGAGGGAAAGAUGAAAAGCACUUUGGAAAGAGAGUUAACAGUACGUGAAAUUGUUGGAAGGGAAACGCUUGAAGUCAGACUUGCUUGCCGAGCAAUCGGUUUGCAGGCCAGCAUCAGUUUUCCGGGAUGGAUAAUGGUAGAGAGAAGGUAGCAGUUUCGGCUGUGUUAUAGCUCUCUGCUGGAUACAUCUUGGGGGACUGAGGAACGCAGUGUGCCUUUUGGCGGGGGUUUCGACCUCUUCACACUUAGGAUGCUGGUGGAAUGGCUUUAAACGACCCGUCUUGAAACACGGACCA